rnacentral:tRNA from 1 species
CCGCCCGGCUACGGCCAGGGCCGGCAGCCGACCGGCUAUCCGCCGCCGGGAUACGGCCAUGCGCCGGGUACGCCGCCGACCGCCCCGGCGCCGGGCGGA